rnacentral:rRNA from 1 species
UACGUAGGGUGCAAGCGUUAAUCGGAAUUACUGGGCGUAAAGCGUGCGCAGGUGGUGAUGUAAGACAGGUGUGAAAUCCCCGGGCUUAACCUGGGAACUGCAUUUGUGACUGCAUCGCUGGAGUGCGGCAGAGGGGGAUGGAAUUCCGCGUGUAGCAGUGAAAUGCGUAGAUAUGCGGAGGAACACCGAUGGCGAAGGCAAUCCCCUGGGCCUGCACUGACGCUCAUGCACGAAAGCGUGGGGAGCAAACAGG